rnacentral:rRNA from 1 species
UACGGAGGGUGCAAGCGUUAUCCGGAUUCACUGGGUUUAAAGGGUGCGUAGGAGGGCAGGUAAGUCAGUGGUGAAAUCCCCGAGCUUAACUUGGGAACUGCCGUUGAUACUAUCUGUCUUGAAUACCGUUGAGGUGAGCGGAAUAUGUCAUGUAGCGGUGAAAUGCUUAGAUAUGACAUAGAACACCAAUUGCGAAGGCAGCUCGCUAAACGAAUAUUGACUCUGAGGCACGAAAGCGUGGGGAUCAAACAGG